CCCAGGUCUAGAAGAAACAAGCCGGGACUCCUGCUAGAUAAUAAUGAAUGACUGUUGCCCUUACAUAACUUCUUCCUAACCUGGGAUUCUUUCCUGUGGGAAUUUCCUUCACCUUGAAUCAGAUGAGGAAGACAGGAUCCCUGCAUUGUCCCUGGAAGAGGAGGCUGGCACAGCUGGCUGAGAUGAUCCUAGCAAUUACCUGUGUACCUGGCCUGGGUUGGGCCAGGACCUUGGACUCAAGACCCCCUCAACUGGCCACCAGUUGUGAGCCUCAGUUUCCCAGUUUCAGAAAUGCAAAUAAAGCCCCUGCCCUGCCUCCCUGGUGAAUUCAUCUGCUCCAAUUCAACACUAAGUCUCUUGACAAGGAUUAGACACAUCCAACAGUGUCUAUCGCACUACUCAGCUUGUGGUAAGGCCUGUUAGGGGAAGAAUAAACUAGCAAGAAAGGGAAGGAGGGAAGAAGUGGGAAGGGAGAGGGGGGUUUCUGAGGGUGCAGUAUGACAAGUGUGUUCUGGGGGGGAGCAGGGACCUGGACACUCAAAGACACAGGCCAUAGCAGCACCAGCCGUGUGACACCUCCACCCCAUGCUGCAGGGCACACCUCAUGUGCCAGGUCCCAUUCAAAGCUGGGGGAGUUUGGCCCAGAGGCCCCUCUGGCACCCAUGGUGAGUGACAGGGAAGCCAGAUGGGAUGGGUAACCAAAACCUGGUACAUAAAGGCAGCUGUUCUUUUUAAAAACCUUUGGAGUUUCUGG
rnacentral:lncRNA from 1 species